GUUUUAUUUUCAUUUCUUUAUUGCUGUAACAACAAUAAAACAUUUAUAAAAGAUGAAAUACAUUGUAAUGAUAAAGAGAUAAGUCAAGUUUUAUUUACAAAACAAUCUGGUUACUCUACUGGUUGUUCCUUAUAAGCCCAUUAAUUUUGUCUGAAAGUGCAGGACUUAAGGAUGUACUUAGGUGAGGUUUGGUAAAAAUUAGGAAAUUAAGAAGUUAAAAUUGAUACAUGUACUAUAAGCUGGUAGAGCAUCAAUUAAGGAUAAAUAUAAGCUAAAAAUAUUGAUAGGUCAUGGACCUCCUUUUCGAGAUAUUUGACAUUUAAAAUAUGGCGGGAAAAGACUGACUCUGACUUUUACCUUACAUUUGCAUUGGUAUCAUUUGAGUCUCAAAACAAAAGAAAGAAAAUCAAGAAUCUUCUAAAAUCUU
rnacentral:lncRNA from 1 species